rnacentral:ncRNA from 1 species
CUUUGCUCAGAGCAAUCCCCGGGAAACCGGGAGUCGCAGAGCCCCGAGGCUAAUUGGGGAUUCCCCCCAGAUGCCAGUCGAGCCGCCAAA